GAUGAACGCUGGCGGCGUGCCUAAUACAUGCAAGUCGAGCGAACGGACGAGAAGCUUGCCUCUCUGUUGUUAGCGGCGGACGUGUGAGUAACACGUGGAUAACCUACCUAUAAGACUGGGAUAACUUCGGGAAACCGGAGCUAAUACCGGAUGAUAUUUUGAACCGCAUGGUUCAAAAGUGAAAGACGGUCUUGCUGUCACUUAUAGAUGGAUCCGCGCUGCAUUAGCUAGUUGGUAAGGUAACGGCUUACCAAGGCAACGAUGCAUAGCCGACCUGAGAGGAUGAUCGGCCACACUGGAACUGAGACACGGUCCAGACUCCUACGGGAGGCAGCAGUAGGGAAUCUUCCGCAAUGGGCGAAAGCCUGACGGAGCAACGCCGCGUGAGUGAUGAAGGUCUGCGGAUCGUAAAACUCUGUCAUUAGGGAAGAACAUAUGUGUAAGUAACUGUGCACAUCUUGACGGUACCUAAUCAGAAAGCCACGGCUAACUACGUG
rnacentral:rRNA from 1 species